ACCUGGCUGGCUCAGUUGGUAGAGCAUGUGACUCUUGAUCUCAGGGUUGUGAGUUCGAGCCCCACACUGGGUG
rnacentral:tRNA from 1 species